AAUCGUUGAAAAGUUCCCUCGACUAUCUUUCGUAACCCUCAUCAGACUGAAAUGGCACUUAUAACACAUAUAUAUGCAAAGUUCUCAUCAAUAGAAACGGAUUAAGUUCAAACAGCAGGUAAUUGCUAUAAAUCGUUAAAGAGUUCCCUCGACUAACUUUUGUCUCCAUCAUCAGACUGUAAUGGCACUUCUAACUCAUACAGGUGCAAAGUUCUCAUCAAUAGAAACGAAUUAAGUUCAAAAAGCAGGUAAUUGCUAUAAAGUGUUGAAGAGUUCCCUCG
rnacentral:misc_RNA from 1 species